GAUGAAGAAACGCAGCGAAAUGCGAUACGUAGUGUGAAUUGCAGAAUUCCGUGAACCAUCAAAUCUUUGAACGCAUAUUGCGCUCGAGCCCUCGGACAAGAGCAUGUCUGCCUCAGCGUCGGUUUAUACCCUCACCCCUCCCAUUUUGUGGGUCGGUUAACUCAAUGUCAGUUAGCCAUAGGGGUGGAUCUGGCUUCCCCAAUUGGUUUGAUUACGAAUUGGGUUGGCUGAAGCACAGAGGCUUAAACAAGGACCCGAUAUGGGCUUCAACUGGAUAGGUAGUACCGGCUUCUGCCGCCUACACGAAGUUGUAGCUUGUGGACGUUGUUAGGGGCCAAGCAGGAAACAUGCUUGAUUGCAUGCUUAAACUUUCGACCUGAGCUCAGGCAAGGCUACCCGCUGAACUUAAGCAUAUCAAUAAGCGGAGGA
rnacentral:misc_RNA from 1 species